rnacentral:rRNA from 1 species
UACGGAGGAUGCAAGCGUUAUCCGGAUUUAUUGGGUUUAAAGGGUGCGCAGGUUGUUUGAUAAGUCAGUGGUGAAAGUCUGUCGCUUAACUGUAGGAUUGCCAUUGAUACUGUUGGACUUGAAUAUGGAUGAGGUAGGCGGAAUGUGUAGUGUAGCGGUGAAAUGCAUAGAUAUUACACAGAACACCGAUUGCGAAGGCAGCUUACUAAUCCAUCAUUGACGCUGAGGCACGAAAGCGUGGGGAGUCAAA